rnacentral:rRNA from 1 species
UGGGGAAUAUUGGGGCAAUGGGGGAAACCCUGACCCAGCAACGCCGUGUGAGGGAAGAAGGUCUUCGGAUUGUAAACCUUUGUCCUAUGGGACGAAAGAAAUGACGGUACCAUAGGAGGAAGCUCCGGCUAACUACGUGCCAGCAGCCGCGGUAAUACGUAGGGAGCAAGCGUUGUCCGGAAUUACUGGGCGUAAAGGGUGCGUAGGUGGUCAAGUAAGUCAGGUGUGAAAGACCGGGGCUCAACCCCGGGGUUGCAUUUGAAACUGUUUGACUUGAGUACAGGAGAGGGAAGUGGAAUUCCUAGUGUAGCGGUGAAAUGCGUAGAUAUUAGGAGGAACACCAGUGGCGAAGGCGACUUUCUGGACUGUAACUGACACUGAGGCACGAAAGCGUGGGGAGCAAACAGGAUUAGAUACCC